GCCUGGGUGGCUCAGUCGGCUAAGCAUCUGACUUCGGCUCAGGUCAUGAUCUCACAGUCCGUGAGUUCGAGUCCCGCGUCGGGCU
rnacentral:tRNA from 1 species